UGCGUAGGCGGACUAAUAAGUCAGUGGUGAAAUCUUUCGGCUCAACCGAGAAACUGCCAUUGAUACUGUUAGUUUUGAGUUCGGUUGAGGUAGGCGGAAUGUGUAAUGUAGCGGUGAAAUGCUUAGAUAUUACACAGAACACCAAUUGCGUAGGCAGCUUACUAGACCGACACUGACGCUGAGGCACGAAAGCGUGGGGAGCGAACAGGAUUAGAUACCCUGGUAGUCC
rnacentral:rRNA from 1 species